UGCACAAGGGAGCUUGACUGUGAGACUGACAGGUCGAGCAGGGACGAAAGUCGGGACUAGUGAUCCGGCACCGGCUUGUGGAAGCGGUGUCGCUCAACGGAUAAAAGGUACCCCGGGGAUAACAGGCUGAUCUUCCCCAAGAGUCCAUAUCGACGGGAUGGUUUGGCACCUCGAUGUCGGCUCGUCGCAUCCUGGGGCUGGAGUUGGUCCCAAGGGUUGGGCUGUUCGCCCAUUAAAGCGGCACGCGAGCUGGGUUUAGAACGUCGUGAGACAGUUCGGUCUCUAUCCGCCGUGCGCGUUGAAACUUGAGAAAGGCUGACCCUAGUACGAGAGGACCGGGUUGGACGUACCUCUGGUGGGCCAGUUGUCACGCCCGUGGCAUUGCUGGUUGGCUACGUACGGGAGGGAUAACCGCUGAAAGCAUCUAAGCGGGAAGCCUGUUUCGAGAUGAGGUUUCGUGUGAGGUUCCCUGUAGACGACGGGGUUGAUAGGCCGGAUCUGGA
rnacentral:rRNA from 1 species